CAGGUUAAGGCGGCGGCUUCCCAAUUAGACUAGGGCACGCCGCGUCGAUCGAUAAUAAUCGUGUGUGUUUGAGUGUAUUCAUAAUUCAGUGCUGAAUCGCUGGAUCGAUGUUUCAAAUUCGUUAUGUUAUCCGUUUCGAAGCCCAAAAACAGUAAACAAUGAAGAAGAUACUCCAGCAAAACAAAACUAUGUUCUAUUGCCACCUCAGUGGGCCGGCAUGGGAUAAAAGUGAUUCUACCAAACCUUGCUCUAAGUGGACAAAGAGAAAUGCCAACAUUUCUCGAUAUGUCGUGUCACUGCUUCAUUUGGCGCAAAAGAACCCAGAGGUUGCCACCACUGCUAGGGAUUCCUUGAAAUAAGAGAAGAAUCUUCAUCUGAGCAAACAAUUGCUGAAGGUUGAUCUACUUCCUAUUUAAUUCAGUAACAUAUAAAUGAUGUCUCUUAAAUAUUACUAUGCAGUGACCAAUAUAUAUUAGUUUGACCUUUAGUUCUUGCUUCUCUUUCCCAUACAUUUAUAUCAUUUUAUUUCAAAAGAGACAUGAUAAGAUUGUUGAUAGGAACCAAUCAUCAUAUUGGUUUUUGUUGUCUAUCAGCGAGCUCUAUGUAGGUGGCUAGAAUUGUGUGCUGAGUUACCAUGGACCCUGUAAUAAAACCAACUCAAUACAAUCUUAUUCACGUGAAGAUUGUCUUGUUUAAUAAUAUGUUUGAGACGGAUGGCUCAGAAAUGUUGAAGUAAACAAAGAAGAUGAUUUGCAGUAAACAAAACAAUGAAGAUGAUGCUCCAAAAAGAUGAAAAACAAUUAUCUAAGGCCCGCUAAUCCUCUAAUCUGCUUGUUAUCUACUAUUAUGAAGAAGCUGCCUACUUAUCUAUUUAGUUGAAGAUAAAACAAACGUAGCACAUCGUGGAACUUCUGAAUUUAAAAGAAUCAAGUUUAAAUCUAGCAGUGUAGAUUGGAGUAACCAUAUUGUCUUAUUCUUAUUCCUAUGUAAGAUCAGGGCUCAAAAUACUUAAAAUAGAUGAUGUUCAAGAAACCAUCAAGUUACUUGAAGUAGUUUUAGUAUUUGUCUGUUUAUUUAUUGACAUUU